CUUUUCUUCAUCCUUCUUGUUUGCAUAUUUCUUUAUCUCGGCUCAUAGAUAAUUUUUUCGUUUUUAUCUCUCACUCUCAGAUUUUUCGUCACAGUAGUAAGGUAUCCAAGAAGGGUCUGGAUUGGGUUACUCCAAAGAUAGAAGAUGGAGGAGGACAACAGAUGAGUAGAGCGUGACGACGAAGGACAUGGCUGAGGGAAUGGCUGAAGCGCCGAGGGUGGAGGAAGACGGCAUAUGAGGACCAGAUCCGGCGGAGACUGUUAGAGAGAAUAAAAUCCCACAUCGAAAAUAUGUAAGGGAUUUGAAUAAUAUAUAUAAGGGACCUGGGCCAUUCUACUUAUCGCCAAUUGGUUUUAAGUUGAAACUUAAAUUGGUAUCAAAGUGGACCCAAACCCUGACCCAUCAAUCCGUCCCGGAAAAUAGUCCGAUCAUCCCACAAAUUGAUGGCAUAAAGAAGGCUCGGUGUCUUAAAGAUUGUUAGAAAAUAAAGCAAUUUCUCGGAGUCUAUGAUGGAUUAUGCGAAAUUAAUGGUUAUACGCACCAUUGUCUUAAGAGAGGAUAUUAGAGAAGAUCUCACAUUAUGUAACGGAUUUGAAUAACAUCUAAGAGAUUUGGCCCACUCCACUUACUGCCAAUUGGUUUUAAGUUGAACUUAACAAAGAGUGUGACAUGAUAAGUCACAAAGCUUAUUCAUCAUUAUCUGAACUUAUUUUGAUUUUUCUUUUUCUUGUUGGUUUUGUCUCUUUUAUUUUCCUAAUUAGUUUUAAUAUUUCUUCUCUUUUAUAAUGUAGCCAUACAACAGUUUAAGAAUACACAAUCAAUAAACUAUUUCUUCAAGUUCUUACUUUUCUUUAGAGUUACUUUGGUAACUUCAUACAAGAGCUUCGCAUUACGAAUCAAGUCUUUCAACUUGAUCCUUCUAAAAUUUGAGAUCAUCUUGUACGUCUGUGUUUGAUAUCUAUAUAGGUUUCCUGUCACAGUGGUAUCAGAGCAGUGACAAUUUUCUCAGGACCGAAUCAUGGACACCAGACAAACAACCGCUAUCAAAGAGAUGAACAAAAAAACUCGAAGAACUUCACUCAUCGGAAUCUCAACAAUCAUAGGGACAUCUGAAAUGAUCUAGGUGGAGAAAUCGCAUAAAUCAAAGCGAUGAUCUCAUAAAUCCUAAACACUUCACCGAUUACACCGACUUCCCCAAGGAUAACAAAGUCAAUCCACUGGUACCUCCCAUCUUCUGCACACAACAAGCGUAUCUUCAUCGGACCAGACAAAUAAAAAUGCUCCACCAGAUUUAGAACACCACCUGCCUCUUCCCAUUGUGUUAUCAUCUCACUUAACAAAGGUCGGGUUUCCAAUGUUGACGGAACAAUACGUAUGGAAUGGAGUUACCGAUGUGAAAAAUUCUUCUCCAACAAUAAUAAUUCACCAAAAUGAAAGGUUCGUCUGGUCUCUCUUCACAUGAAGGGAAAAGCUCUCCAGUGGCACCACUGAUAUCAUCGAUGAAGAAAACAUAAAAUACAAUUGCAAUAAAAUAACAAAUAUGAUUCAUUGAUUCUUCUCUAAUAAAUAGAGAGAGAGAGAGAGAGAGAGAGAGAGAGAGAGAGAGAGAGAGAGAGAGAGAGAGAGAGAGAGAGAGAGAGAGAGAGAGAGAGAGAGAGAGAGAGAGAGAGAGAGAGAGAGAGUUGAUCCUUCUCCCUUUCAUGGUAGCUAAUUGCAAAGAUGAAAUCCUCUAGAGUCUCGUUUUUCUGAAUAAAAAUUGCGUAGCUAAGAAAAGAAAAGAAGAAAAGAAUAUAUAGGACAAAGUCGCAUGCAGCUCAAGGAGAGAUGGGAUCCCUAGGGUAAAUUCAGGAUGUUUUGGAACUUUCCACAAGAAUCUCCGGUGAUGGAGUGUGGGGGAGUUGAUAGACCAUGGAUUUCACCCAUUUUCAUUCAUUGAUUAUAGGUGUUUUUACUAUAGAGUUUAUUUAUUAUAUUUACAAGAUCAGGAGUGAUUUGGAGAUAAGUGAUGAUUUUAGAGUAUUUUGGAGAUAUUUAGAGCAAGCACCCGAGAUGACCAUCAAGCUCGACCAUCGGUCGAUAUUAGAGGAGGAAUAUUGAUCAAUG